rnacentral:misc_RNA from 1 species
GAUGAAGAACGUAGCGAAUUGCGAUAAGUAAUGUGAAUUGCAGAAUUCAGUGAAUCAUCGAAUCUUUGAACGCACAUUGCGCCCGCCAGUAUUCUGGCGGGCAUGCCUGUUCGAGCGUCAUUACAACCCUCAGGCCCCCGGGCCUGGCGUUGGGGAUCGGCGGAAGCCCCCUGUGGGCACACGCCGUCCCUCAAAUACAGUGGCGGUCCCGCCGCAGCUUCCAUUGCGUAGUAGCUAACACCUCGCAACUGGAGAGCGGCGCGGCCAUGCCGUAAAACACCCAACUUCUGAAUGUUGACCUCGUAUCAGGUAGGAAUACCCGCUGAACUUAAGCAUAUCAAUAAGCGGAGGA